AUUGAACGCUGGCGGCAUGCCUUACACAUGCAAGUCGAACGGCAGCAUGGAGAGCUCGCUCUCUGAUGGCGAGUGGCGAACGGGUGAGUAAUGCAUCGGAACGUACCGUGUAAUGGGGGAUAACGUAGCGAAAGUUACGCUAAUACCGCAUACGACCUGAGGGUGAAAGCAGGGGAUCGAAAGACCUUGCGUUAUACGAGCGGCCUAUGUCAGAUUAGCUAGUUGGUGGGGUAAAGGCUCACCAAGGCGACGAUCUGUAGCGGGUCUGAGAGGAUGAUCCGCCACACUGGGACUGAGACACGGCCCAGACUCCUACGGGAGGCAGCAGUGGGGAAUUUUGGACAAUGGGGGCAACCCUGAUCCAGCCAUGCCGCGUGAGUGAAGAAGGCCUUCGGGUUGUAAAGCUCUUUCGGCCGGGAAGAAAUCGCACAGGCUAAUACUCUGUGUGGAUGACGGUACCGGCAUAAGAAGCACCGGCUAACUACGUGCCAGCAGCCGCGGUAA
rnacentral:rRNA from 1 species